UGGGCACUUGCAGCAUGGUGUGAAGCUGCUGCUGUGGCUUAGUUCAGUUGUGCUGUUUUAUAGUCUUGCUUUUGACCAGUUACCAAUUCCCUCUGAUUUUUGCUUUAAUUGCCAGGGGGACAAAGGUGCGAUGGGAAUCCCUGGGCGGCCGGCCCUGCUCUGGUUCAGCAUCCCCUGUUUGGGUGUCUCCUGCUGCCACCUGGUGCGCCAGCUGGGCUUGCUAACCCUGGGUUUCCUAACACGCACCCCUGCUUGCCACUGGCAGCUGCCCUGAGCCAAGGGGGCCGUGCCCUGCCUGGCUGAGUGCUGGAUUGUGGAGCUGCUCCUUGCUCAGGCAUCCCUUGGUGAGGAUGGG
rnacentral:lncRNA from 1 species